UAUAGAUAAAGUCAUGGCGUUGGGUAUCUCGAUUUUUCUGCCCCUACAACACUUCAAAGACUUACCUAUAGAGACCCUCUGUAUUAUGUUUACAGCUCUAGCAAUCCUGACGACAAUAAUCUACUUCUUCUUGAACGAUCAAAAGGAAAAGAUAACGAAACCAGACAGAAUCUUUAGCAAGAGGCAGAAGGAUGUAGAUCUCGUUACGUUUGAAGAAAUUGAAACAAUUGAUACGCUGUUGGGGGCAAAGCCUGCUGAAGAGGUAACGCCGGAAGAGGAAAAUAUAUUAUCGAGUCUAGUCUACAUAGAGCAACUAGUACAAGAUCCCAGCUGCACAAGUCGUCACAUAUUUCUACAGCGCUGCAUCCUGCUACCCUCCCAAAUAGCUGUCAUUGAGCGCUUUACGCGGGAUCAAGCCAAGAGCAUGCUGUGGCACUCGCUGCGCACUGGACGCGUAACCUCCAGCAACUUUGGUGCUGCUAUAUCUUUAGCAAGACGUAACGUUGAACCCAGCAAAUCGUUUCUUAAUUAUUUGCUCAAGACUAAAGAUAUAUCACAUCUUCCUGCGAUAAUGUACGGAGUUGACAAUGAGUCUGUUGCUAUAAAGGAGUAUGAACAACAAUUUGGACUGAAAGUUUUUAAAUGUGGUAUUUUUCUGGACACCUGUGGAUUUAUAGGUGGAUCUCCAGAUGGACUAGUUGGAAGCGAUGGAAUAAUCGAGAUUAAGUGCCCUUUUAAGAUGAGAGAUGCCGCAGAUGUAACGGAAUUGGAUCAGUUGGGAUACUUGAAAAAGAAUGAGCAGAAUAAAUUUGAGCUUAGCACGUCGCACAAAUAUUAUCACCAACUUCAGGGGAACUUGUAUCUAACGAACAGAAAGUUUUGUGAUUUUGUAGUUUGGACUCCACGAGUCAUGCUUUGUAUCCGGAUAUCACAAGAUACUAUCUGGCAAGAUAACAUAGGAAUGCUGCAACUUUACUACUUGGAAAAGCUCGUCCCGAAAAUUCAAGAGUUUUACAUGAACGAUGAAAAAUUGCCAGAUAGACAUUUUGAUUCAACGUCGUCAGCUGGAACAGAUAUAUUCGUUAAUGGAGAGAAACGAUGAUCUGUCAACUAGCCUUGAAGCGCUACAAGACCAAUUAAAACUGUAUCAGUAGAAUCGGUGUAAUUAAUAUCAUGAACCCCAAUUCGGUCGCACUUAAGAGAAGACCUGGAACGCGUAAACGUGGAGCGCGAUGACGUGAACUGUUGGUAGCAAGUAGAUAUAUGCAACUUAUUAUGUCACGUGACUAUAAAAUUACUUGGCUAAAUGCGCGCGAUCGUAUUUUCGAUUUUAUACCGCAUUGCAAAUGUACUGAUAAUAUGAUGUAUGAUAUCAUCCCAAUAUCAUAAUCAAAAAGUGUCAUAAAUUUCUUUAAAUUUGUUUAAAUUAGUAAUUUGACGAUUGUGACGCCCGCAUAACUUCAUCAUCAGCGUUUGUCAUUGCUAGUAUUAAGUGUAUCAUGUUAGCGAGAUCAGAGAGCUGGAAAAGUUUUGAUGAUAUGAAUUUAUCAGAUAUUUAAAAUUAUUUGAUGGAUAUUUAUAUAAUAUUUAUGGCACAUCACUGUAUAUACCAUCUGAGUUGAUUGAUUUUCCUUAAUUUAAUUGAAUAGCUUACUUUACACACUUUUGUCUCAAUUUUGUGAUUCAACAAUCUCUUCCUUUAUUAGAUGAAUCCGUCCUUGUUAAUAUUACAUCAAGCCUGAGCAUUAUCUUUGUUAUUUAUUCUGAACCAAACUAGUUUACACUUGAACUUUUGAACAAAAAUCGUUGAAAAAUAUGUUCUUUUAUUGUGUACUUUGUAUUAUCCAGUUAUUUCUAUCAAAGUUUUUUCUUCAACUUUCUGACUGUAUAAUUUUCUGUCUGUAUAUAAUAUAUGAUCGUAUUA